UGGACAGAUUAUUGUAUUCGACUGUAUUUACGGCGUGAAACAGGGGAUUACACUAUUUUUAAACGGAAAGUGAAUCAAUUAACAUAAUAGACUCCU
rnacentral:pre_miRNA from 1 species